CCUACGGGGGGCAGCAGUGAGGAAUAUUGGUCAAUGGGCGGGAGCCUGAACCAGCCAAGCCGCGUGAAGGAAGAAGGCGCCAAGCGUCGUAAACUUCUUUUGUCGGGGAACAAAGGGCGCCACGUGUGGCGUUUUGAGUGUACCCGAAGAAUAAGCAUCGGCUAACUCCGUGCCAGCAGCCGCGGUAAUACGGAGGAUGCGAGCGUUAUCCGGAUUUAUUGGGUUUAAAGGGUGCGUAGGCGGUCGGGAAAGUCAGCGGGAAAAGCCCGGGGCUCAACCCCGGAGAGCCGUGGAAACUGGCGGACUAGAGCGGGCGAGAGGUACGCGGAAUGCGCGGUGUAGCGGUGAAAUGCAUAGAUAUCGCGCAGAACUCCGAUUGCGAAGGCAGCGUACCGGCGCCGGACUGACGCUGAGGCACGAAAGCGUGGGUAUCGAACAGGAUUAGAUACCCUAGUAGUC
rnacentral:rRNA from 1 species